rnacentral:rRNA from 1 species
UACGUAGGUGACCAGCGUUGUCCGGAUUUACUGGGCGUAAAGAGCGCGCAGGCGGUCGUUCAAGUCGAGUGUGAAAGCCCCCGGCUCAACUGGGGAGGGUCAUUCGAUACUGAUCGACUGGAAGGCAGGAGAGGGAAGCGGAAUUCCCGGUGUAGUGGUGAAAUGCGUAGAGAUCGUAAGGAAGACCAGUGGCGAAGGCGGGUCUCUGGACAGUUCCUGACACUGAGGCACGAAGGCCAGGGGAGCAAACGGG